rnacentral:rRNA from 1 species
UACGAAGGGGGCUAGCGUUGUUCGGAAUCACUGGGCGUAAAGCGCACGUAGGCGGACCAUUAAGUCAGGGGUGAAAGCCUGGAGCUCAACCACAGAAUUGCCUUCGAUACUGUUUGGCUUGAGUUUGGUAGAGGUUGGUGGAACUGCGAGUGUAGAGGUGAAAUUCGUAGAUAUUCGCAAGAACACCAGUGGCGAAGGCGGCCAACUGGACCAAUACUGACGCUGAGGCGCGAAAGCGUGGGGAGCAAACAGGAUUAGAUACCCCAGUAGU